AUGAUACGCGAGGAACCUUACCUGGGCUCAAAUGUAUGUUGACGUAUUCUGAAAGGGAUACUUCUUCGGACAAUAUACAAGGUGCUGCAUGGUUGUCGUCAGCUCGUGCCGUGAGGUGUCGGGUUAAGUCCCAUAACGAGCGCAACCCCUAUCAUUAGUUGCCAUCAGGUCAAGCUGGGGACUCUAAUGAAACUGCCUACGCAAGUAGUGAGGAAGGUGGGGAUGACGUCAAGUCAUCAUGGCCCUUACGGCCUGGGCUACACACGUGCUACAAUGGUCGGUACAAAGGGUUGCCAAGCCGCGAGGUGGAGCUAAUCCCAUAAAACCGAUCGUAGUCCGGAUCGCAGUCUGCAACUCGACUGCGUGAAGUCGGAAUCGCUAGUAAUCGUGAAUCAGAAUGUCACGGUGAAUACGUUCCCGGGCCUU
rnacentral:rRNA from 1 species